GUAUGUUACUGAAGGACAGUCUGUGUGCCCUGACUUCAAUACAGGAAGUUGCACACCGCCAGCAGCAGUUGCGCUGUUGUUGAGACGUUUUGACCAGUAUGGGUAGAUGGAAACAUUGGUUUGUUGUCCUUCUGCCUCUAAUUAUUUAUAUCGGCAGCACAGCAACUGUUGUGAAUGUUGUGAAAACCAUUGGGAGCAAACCAGAUGUGACUUCAAUCUGCACCAAUGACACACUGCGUACCAUCACGCUUAUAGUUUGUAAGAUCAGAACACAGAUGGGGGGAGAAGAGUGUCGUCUGCUGUAUCGACAUGGAAAGGACUUUGAGCACGACUGUGACUCCAGGUUCACACUUAUGAUGGAUAAUCAGACUGUGUUCCUCCACCUGACCAGUUUAACAGCAGAGGAUAGUGGGAACUACAUUUGUGAUUGUUCGCGUCUUGAUGGAACGUACAGUCUUCAUCUGAAUAUCACUGUGGAAGAGGAUGAAGAUGUCAGCAGUUCAACACCAGUUCCAAUUCAAAGUGUUUUGAUUGGUGUAGCUAUAGUCAUCAUUGUAACUGGAGUUAUUCUGGGAUUAAUCUACAGGAAAAAAUUUAAUGGAUGCUGUUCAAGGUCAGCAACAUCUGGAUUAUCUGUGUGUCAACCUCCUGGCUCUCUGGACCAAGAUGACCCUGAUGACCUCUACAGAAGCCUUCAGUACCCAAGAAGUGAUCUCUACCAAACUAUCUCAAAUCAAGCCAGCAAAAUAGUGACUGUCCACUUGGAUAAAAUGGAAAAAUAGACAAAAGAGAGACUGAUCCAAAUUGCAAAAUGUACACAGUUCUAUGUAAAGGUGUUUCUUAUAUUUUUUUCCCCCCAAAAUACUGAGACUGAAGUUUGUUAAAACACAUCUGUAUGUGAAUGUAUCUGUGUCAUUGGAACUGUAUGAAGAAUAAAUAUCCCAAAGGCAUUGCAGUCACACAAACUACGUUACAGUUUGUUUCUUCAUUUGAACAACUAUAAUUCACUUUCAUCACUUACAGUUGUAUCAAGUUCUAACAGUGCUGUGUGAAUAAGACACUGGUUUCAAGCUGCAAACAACAUGCUGCUUUCUGUGUACAGCUCAAGCUCAGGCCUCUCAGCAUGAGAUCACCCCAAACACAUACUUCGGUUUCAGCAGGUCAUGUGAUCUUUAUUGUCACUAACCAUGUGAACUGUAAGCAGUGCAGGCAGUAGUUAAUAUUGGUUGGACUCUUAGUGGAUCUAGCUCAAACUGUAGUCUGAAGACCUGAUGUUUGAUGAUCUGUAAUCUUACUGUAGACACAUAUAACACAGUAAUCUGUCUGUAUUUAUUAAUUUGCUACAGUUUUACCUUUCAGAGAGUCCUUCUGUAGCAGCACUUCCUUUACAGGAGAGUUCACGCCACCUAGCUGUGAGAGUUUGAGGUUUAUGAACAGUACAAAGAGGUCUGUGCGUCCUCCCUUCAGUACAGCAUGUUGUGCUCUACCAGCAGCAGUGACAUUAUUGUUUAGACGUCUCAAACGGUAUGGAUAGAUGGAAACUGUGGUUCGUUGUCCUCCUGACUCUAACUUAUUGUAUCAGCAGCACAGGUACUGUAGAUACCUUUUAUAAUUUAACUUAUACAAGACGUUUUUGUUUUAAUCAUUCUGGCUUUGGUUUAAAGAGAGCAACAUUUUUCUGCAGUGAAAACUGUUAUUGUGUAUAAAUACUAACUCAGUGACUGUGUUUCAUGUUGCUUCCAUCUGUGAUUGAUUGCAGCAACUCUUGUGAAGCUUACAAAAACCAUUGGGAGUAAACCAGAUGUGACUCCAAUCUGCACAAAUUCAACACUGAAUAUGGUCGCACUUGUAAUUUGUAAGAUCAGAACACAGAUGAGAGAAGAAGAGUGUCGUCUUCUGUAUCAACAUGGACAGGACUUUAUACAUGAAUGUGACUCCAGAUUCACACUGAUGGAAGAGAAUCAGACUGUGUUUCUCCACCUGACCAGUUUAACACCAGAGGAUAGUGGGCACGUCACCUGUGAGUGUUCACAUGUUGGUGGAACAAUUAUUCUCCAUCUGAAUAUCACUGUGGAAGAGGAUGAAGACCCCGGCAGUACAACAGGAACAGAAAUAUCUUUAGAUAAUGUUGGAAUUGGAAUUUGUGUAUUUAUAUUCAUCAUUAUAACCGGAGUUAUCCUGCUAGUUAUCUACAGCAAGAUUCACCAUAGAGUCUGUUCAAGGUCAGCAACAUCUGGAUUAUCUGUGUGUGAACCUCCUGGCUCUCUGGACCCUGAUGACCCCGAUGACCUCUACAGAAGCCUUCAGCAACUAGAAAGUGAUCUCUACCAAACUAUCUCAAAUCCAGCCAGCAAAAUAGUGACUGUCCACUUGGAUAACCAGGAAAUAGACAGAGGAGAGACUGAUUCAAGUUGAAAAAUAUAAGAAAACAUUUUAACCAAAGAAUCAACAUAAGAGAGCUGUGUAAUAUUUGGAUGUUCUUUACGUACUGAGAGUGUAGCUGCUGAUGGUAGCUGGCCUUCAGUUCUUUAAGAUAUCUAACAUUAUUACAAUUUGUGUGUUAAUGUUUUUGUGUAAUAUAUUUGAUAUGGGAUGUUAAAAUAUUGAGAUUACAGUGUUUGUUCAAACAGCUCUUCAUGUGAACACGACCCUGGAACAGUCAGCAUAGCACAUGAUGUACAACUCUCACCAAGCACAAAGACCAGAGCAAGCAGUGGUUGAUAGUGUUUGGACUCUCAGUGGAUUCAGCUCAAACUGUAGUCUGAAAACACAACCUGGUGUUUGAUGGUCUAUAACCUUACUAAUGAUUACGCAUAUAACAUGAGAAGUUUUUCAGGACAAUUUUGUGUCUUUGAAUUUCACCAAACCAGACACUUAAGUUGUUUUAAAGUCACUAAAAUAUUACCAGCCUGAAUGUUUCUGUCUGUAUUUAUUCAUUUGCUGCUGUUUUACCUUUUAGAGUUUUAAUAUGAAAGCUGAAGCUCCUGUUGCAGCACUUCUUUUACAGGAAAGUUCACACCAGCUUGUAGCUGUGAGAGUUUGAGGUUUAUGUUACAGAGAAGAGAGCAAAGAGGUCUGUGUGUCUUCCUUCAGUACAGGAUGUCGUACACCGCCAGCACAGAGUUGCACUUUUGUUUAGAUGUCUCGACCAAUAUGGAUAGAUGUAAACUGUGGUUCGUUGUCCUUCUGAUGCUAGCUUUCUAUAUCGACAGCACAGGUAUUGUAGAUACUCUUUUAUCAUUUAAGUUACACAAGACAUCGUUGUUCUCUGUUAAUUAUUCAUUGGUUUAAAGACAGCAACAAUAUUUGCUCAUUCUUGUGCAUUGGAAACUGUGACUGUGCGUGAAUACAUCAAACGCUAACUCAGUGACUGUAUUUCAUGAUGAGUUUGGAUUGUGAUUGAUUGCAGAAACUCUUGUGAAGCUCGUGAAAACCAUUGGGAGCAAACCAUAUAUCGCUCCAAUAUGCCCCAAUGAAACACUGCAUAUCGUCAUACUUGUAGUUUGUAAGAUCAGAACAGAGAUGAGGGGAGAAGAGUGUCGUCUGCUGUAUCAACAUGGACAAGACUUUGAGCAAGACUGUGACUCCAGAUUCACACUUACGACGGAUAAUCGGACUCUGUUCCUCCAGCUGACCGGUUUAAUAGCAAAGGAUAGUGGGAACUUCACCUGUGAGUGUUCACAUGCUCGUGGAACGGAUACUCUGCAUCUCAUCCUCACCGUUCUCCAUCUGAAAAUCACAGUGAAAGAAGAUGAAGACGCUAGCAGUUUAAGACAAAUGCCAAUUCACAGUGUUUUGAUUGGUGUAACAAUAGUCAUCAUUAUAACUGGAGUUAUUCUGGGAAUAAUCUACAGGACAAAAACUAACAGAAACUGUUCAAGGUCAGCAACAUCUGGAUUAUCUGUGUGUGAAUCUCCUGGCUCUCUGGACCAAGAUGACCCUGAUGACCUCUACACAAGCCUUCAGCAACCAGAAAGUGAUCUCUACCAAACUAUCUCAAAUCCAGCCAACAAAAUAGUGACUGUCCACUUGGAUAACCAGGAAAUAGACGGAGGAGAGACUGAUUCAAGUUACAAAAUAUAUGAAAACAUUUUAACCAAAGAAUCAAUAUGACAGAGCUGUGUAAUAUGUGGAUGUUCUUUACUUAUUGAGACUGUAGCUGCUGAUAGUUGCUGGCCUUCAGUUCUUUAACAUAUCCAAACUAAUUACAAUUUCCUGUAAUGUGAUGACAGUAACUGUUUUAUAGUUGAUAUACAGGAAAUAAACUCUCCUCAGCAGAAGAACAGGGCUCGGAGAAGAUGCUGUGUUUGGCCAGAAGGGUGUUUAAUACAUUGUGGUAUCAGUCAGUAGUAUCAGAGUCAGAGUAUCUUACACAGAACAGCUUCUUAAACACUGUGGCUUGUAUUUAAACUGGAUAAUGACUGCAUGCUGUUUCAUUAUCAGUUUUCUUGUCACAUUCUUUAAGAUGUUGUGUUAUUAUUGCAUGCGUCAUCUAUCAGAUAGGAUGAGUAUUCUCCAAUAACAGAUCAUAUUUGACCUCAACUCCUCUGAUUCCUUUAAGUUGUUGCUCUGUUUGGCCAGUUUGUUAAUUAAAGCUCUGUAUAAAACUAUUGUAGUGGUCGACAAGUGUAGAAAUGUAAUAAAAUAAAUAAAAUAUAGUGUCUUUUGAAGGACCAUUUUCAUUGUUUAACACAGAUAUCUAUAAUAAUAAUAUAAUAAUUUCCAGAUAAUGUCCUUCAAACUAUACAAAGAGAAGAGUUUGAGUCUUUUGGCCAUGAUUUGUACAACGUGGAUUAUCGGUGAUAAAUUGGAAUUUCAAAAUAAAAUUCAGUCAUUAUAUCUGUAUGAUUGCUGAUUAGUAAAUAUUUCAAAACUUCAUAAUACUUACAUUUUGAACGUAAAUCACAUAUUUUUCAUUGCAUUGCAUUCACACAAAUUGAUAGUUUGUUUUUUUCAUUUUAACAACUAUAAUUCACUUUCAUCACUUUGUCACUUACAAUUGUAUCAAAUUAUAACAGUGCUGUGUGAAUAAGACACUGGUUUCAAGCUGCCAACAGCAUGCUGCUUUCUAAUUAAAGCUCAAGCUCAGGCCUCUAAAUAUGUGAUCACCACAAACGAAUACACAAAUUUAAGCAUGUGAUCUUUAUUGUCACUAACCAUGUAAAUGGUAAGCAGUGCAAGAAGUAGUUAAUAUUGGUUGGACUCUUAGUGGAUCCAGUUCAAACUGUAGUCUGAAGACCUGAUGUUUGAUCAUCUGCAAUCUUAAUCUAGACACAUAUAACACAGUUUUUUGUCUGUAUUUAUUAAUUUGCUGCUGUUUUACCUUUUAGAGACUUAAUAUGAAAGCUGAAGCUGCUGUUGCAGCACUUCGUUUAUAGAAGAGCUCACACCAGCUCGUAGCUGUGAGGGUUUGAGGUUUAUGAACCAGAGAACAGAGUAUAGAGCUCUGUGUGUCUUCCCUUCAGUACAACAUGUUGUACUCUAUUGUAUUGUUAAUUAUAGUUCAAAGCGUACAUUAAUCAGACCAAUAAAAGUUUGUUUGUGUCUCGGCUUUGUGUAAUUUAGAUCAUUUUUUUUCACUUUAAUUUACAGAUUCCAGUAAUACAAUAUUUUAUGUUACUGUGUUGCCUCUCAUAAAUAGAGCAAACACCAUUGACAUUUUUCUAUCUUUUCUUUUUUUUUAAAUGUUUUAGAGGAAGAAGACGCCGGCUGUUUAACACAAAUGCUGAUUCGAUGGGUCUUGAUGUGUGUAGUUAUCAUUAUAACUGGAGUUAUUCUGGGAUUUAUCUACAGGACAAAAAGUAAUGGAGUCUGUUCAAGGUCAGCAACAUCUGGAUUAUCUGUGUGUGAUCCUCCUGGCUCUCUGAGAAUCCUCAUGUAGCAGCACUUCCUUUACCACAGAGUUCACAUCAGCUCGUAGCUGUGAGGGUUUGAGGUUUAUGAACCAGAGAACAGUGUAUUGAGGUCUGUGUGUCCUCCUUCAGUACAAGAUAUUGUACUCUACCAGCAGCAGUUGCUUCUUGACCAAUAUGGCAAAACUGAGACUGUUCUUUGUUCUUCUUCUGCCACUAACUGUGAGUUCUGACAGCGAAGUGACUCUUGUGAAAACCAUUGGGAGCAAACCAGAUGUGACUCCAAUCUGCACCAAUGAAAAAGAGAAGAUCAUCACACUUGUAAUAUGUAAGAUCAGAACAGAGAUGAGAAGAGAAGAGUGUCGUCUGACAUAUUAUCUUCGAAAAGGUUUUAUACAUAAAUGUGACUCCAGAUUCACACUUAUGAUGGAGAAUCAGACUAUGUUUCUCCACCUGACCAGUUUAACACCAGUGGAUAGUGGGAACUUCACCUGUGAGUGUUCACAUCAUGGUGGAACAUAUAUUCUCCAUCUGAAUAUCACUGUGGAAGGUAAACAAUUUAUUUUAUAACUUUUGUGUUUCACAUCUUGUGCGUUUCCCUCAAAAUAUUUCUCUUAUUACUGACACAGGUGUGUGUUUGGUUGGUAACAUUAUAAAGAAUAACAGCAUCCGUAUAUCUGCACUUACUAAUAAUAUAACAUCAUGCCAGUUACACAUUAUUACAUGAUACUAUCAAAGAGUAUAAUCAUUGUUUCUGUAUUAAAUGAAUACCCGAGCUGCUCUUCUGAUGUUCUAUAUUUUGUUUUCUUUACAAUG